UAAUCCUAGGGGGACCCAGGCAGUUGCGCAAGGACCUGAGUGGUAGGCAGGACCAAGGCGACCUGACCACGUGGACCAACAGGGGAAUGACGUGUGUCCACUAACUCACGCAGCGCUACCAAUAGGCACCCGCCCCCUCGCAUGCUGCGCCAAGUGUGGUUCCUCAGGUUUCACCCACCUCGACCCCCGUGCCCGCACCAGGUGGCCUGUGGGAAAACGAGAAUGCACCACCCAAGUAGGCUGCGAGCUCAGGAGUAG
rnacentral:lncRNA from 1 species